ACUCUGAGCAGCAGACUCUCCCAGCACCAGACGGAUUGAUAACAGAGUGACCACCCACAGGAGAGACUUUCUGAAUUUGUUGUCUCUUCAGAGCAGCGAAUGAGUUUUGUCUUCUGUAUAGUUUUUAGUAUAGCAUUGUAAUAGAAUGUAUAUCAUAAUAUAAUAAACCAGCCUUCUGAAACACAGAAUCAAGCUUCUCGCCUCUCCACUCGUCCUGGGAGCAUUGACCACACAUGGUUUAUCUGUGUACAGCUGUGAAGACUCCUCCAUGACACUGAAGAUCUCAAAAUGGCUCCUAUGCCUCUUUGGCCAAAUCGUUUUGGAUGUUAAUAACAGCUAAAGAAAUGACAGGUUAGUGGGAAAAUGUUUAUAUUCUCUUCAACAACAAAAUUUUGUUGCUUUGAUGAACCUACCAUCUCCUUAAGCAGUACAUCUAAUUACACUACUUUGCUUGUUUCACAUUGUUUAUUUUAUCUCUUUAUUUUGAUUUUGGUUUAGGUUUUGCAGUUUCUAAAAUCUUAAUAACAGAGAAAGAAAUGUCAAAUUUGUCAUUCAAUCUAAACCAUGAUAAAUAUGCUUUGUGAUAAUGCAGUGAGGCAAUGCAUAAUUUUUCAUCACUUCUUAAGUCAUGUGAAGAUGAAAAAUCUGCAUAAAAAUUCCAACUCUAUUCCUUGAGGACUAGAUGGAAUUUAAUUUUUUCCAUUAUUAUUAUUAGUAAUAAAACUUUCUUUUUCCAAAAAGAGUGGAAAAGCAUUAGUGACAUUAACAUCUUUCUAUUUGUUGUAACUGCAGUGUUUCCUCAUGUAGAAACCUUCAAUCUCACUUUAGGCACCUAGCAUAUCUGGAAUCAUGAUCAAACCAGACUGCCUAGAAGAAUCAAAGGAGACAAACUAGCAUAUCAGAUUAACAAACUAGGAAUUCCCUGUUGUCUAUAGAAGUGUUGGGCAGCUGCACUUUUAGAUCCAAUUUUUUUAGGACACCAAGCAUACACUGUUUGCUCACCAUUAUUAAGCAUACUCAUGUGAAUUUUGUCAAGAAAGGACCUCAGAAAUGGACAGCCCCUGUCUGGUCUAUGAUCACAGGCUGUGCACAUGAACGGGAGCUGAAGGAUCUUUCUGUAGAUACUUACUAAGAAUAGAAAAUAAAUAAUUUUAAUAGAAAUCAGAUAUACUGCUGAAAGCUAUUGUUGAUUAAUAACACUGUCCAAAUGGCAAAUCAUUUCUAAUUGCAAAUUUUGCUCAUUCUUUGAAUGCUCAUUCAUCUCUAGUGAGUAUAAGAUGGGAGUAUGUAUUGCUAAAUAUUAAUACUUCCCAUUCAUCUUAAAAAUCCUUAAAUGCAGUUAUGAUUUUCAGUUGGAUGGAAUAAUUUUAUCAUCUGUGUCCUUUCAGGUUAUCUAUUGGACAGAACUAGUAUCUUCCUUUCUUAAUAGACUCCUUUGACUUUUCACCCACACAUAUAUAUUUUUUUAAUUUUUUGUUGAAUGAAAACUUGCAAUUUCUUCAAAGAUAAAGUUCACUGAUAUUUAAAUAAACAUAAAAAUCCCUAUUAACAAACCUCCACCUGCCCCGGUCCCCCCCCGCUUUUGUUUGGGCGUUUUUUAACUGUAGGUUUUACUCCAGUAUUUUUCUAGAAUUAAUGACUAGAAUAUUCUUUUUUUGUAGAUGAGAUUUAUGAAGCAUAAACAGCUAAAUGACUUGCUAAAUAGGUAAUGCCUGCCUGGAGCAGUGAGACCAGGAGUAAAAAUAUGGGUGUUAGAAUGGUAGGUGCUUCUGCCUUUUUUGUCCCCAAGAAACCUCUCCUGUCGAAAGGCAAGUUGAGUUAACAUUCAGGCAACACAGUCAAACCUCCACUCGACACUCACCGCAACUGGCUCAGCGAUAGAGGCAAGAAAGGCUCUUUUGCAAGGUUUUAUUCCAGCGGAGUAACACAGCAGCUGAAAGGAAACCCAGCGGGAAACAGGAUCAACCACGUGAAGCAGCCAACUCAAAACGGGAAAGGGGUAGGG